AUGUUAACAAGAAAUUUCUCUGUCAUGCCUUUUUCAGAAUCUCAACCCAAAGUAGACCACGUGGACGACAACUUUGCAACUUGCCUUCUCAAGCUCUUAGUGAUGGUUCUUAUUUUUUAUGUAUUCCGGGAGGAAUGUUUUGGAAAUAAGAAAAGAAAAGGAAAUGUCUCUAGCAUCUGCUGGCCUGCUUUCUGUCUCUGUGAAUUUACCUAUCCAGAUCAACUUAAGGAAAAUGAUCAACUUGGGGAGGAAAAUGAUCAACUUAGGAAGGAAAAUGAUCAACUUAGGAAGGAAAAUGAUCAACUUGGGGAGGAAAAUGGAAAAUUGCAAAAGGAAAUUGGUAAUGGUAUUCUAAUAGUUAAAAUAUUCUCAAGAGGAUGUCCUCCUCUGAUGAUCCCCUGCUUCCUUUCAUUCUUUCCCCUUAGCUCUUCAUUUUAGGUAUCUUUUGCAUUUCCCCGUUGCCUCUGUAUAUUGCAGCUAUCAUGUUAGGAAUAAUUUUCUGCUUACCUUGAUUAAGUCCUGAAAAUCAUGUGACUCAACUUUAUUUUAUGCAUGAAAAGCAAUUUCCAAAGGGAGCAAUGGCUUGACUAAUGAUAGUAAUGACUACGGUAAAUCCCUCAGAAGAAUGCCUGUCUUUUUUCUGCAUCGUCCUCUCAUUGAGAGUCCAUGUCUUAUGUGUGUAUCUCCUUUCAGAUGAGAGGAAAACUCAAUUUAGGAAUGGUAAGUAAUUUGGAAGUUCUUUCGUGGGAUCAGAUUCCACAAAUAAUAAGCCAUCUAGCCCUUCUCUAAACCUCCUUCCCAGAAAGAGUCAGGCAUGGUAUACCAUGGCAUGUGCUCACUGUGUAGAAGCAUAAAUGGAAGAGAAUCUGUGAAAGUGAGUUAACUCAUUUUCUUUCCUAACUUAGAAUAUCCUUUUAUUGAGACGGGGAAAAAUUUAAUUGUUUAAUGGAUAUUUCCCAAGCGCUCCUUCCUUUGUCUUCACUUCCCUAACCACCCUUUUCUUUCCCUUUUCACUCUUUGUCUCACUCUUGUCAAUUCUUUCUUCCUUCACCUCUGUUCUUUCCAAAUCCUUACCUUUCUCCUUGCUCCUUUCCUCCUUCCCCCCUCACUCCUUCCAUUUUAUCCGUUAUGCUUUCUUUCCAUCUUCAUUUCUCAAACUAUCCACUUUUAUUUCCAUCAUUUCUUUAUUUUCUUUGUUCUUAUUUUUCUUUUUAUUAUUACUUCUCUUGCUUAUAGCUUGAUUUUUCUUUUGACUUUAUACUUUUUCACAUAUAUAUACAAACCCAACAAUUUUAAAGUUAAAGGAAUGGUCACAGUAUUGUGAGGAAGGAAAGGGAUGGAGAGAGAAAUAACUGAAUACUUAGAGAAUACUGGUGAUGAGGAGAGAGGAAAAGAUACACGAAGGACCAGGAAAGGGUAAUCACAUGUUCUCAUGUUG
rnacentral:lncRNA from 1 species